UACAGAGGUCCCGAGCGUUGUUCGGAUUCACUGGGCGUAAAGGGUGCGUAGGUGGCCGGGUAAGUCGGAUGUGAAAGCUCGGAGCUCAACUCCGAAAUGGCAUUGGAAACUACCCAGCUCGAGGGUUGGAGGGGGGACUGGAAUGCUUGGUGUAGCAGUGAAAUGCGUAGAUAUCAAGCGGAACACCAGUGGCGAAGGCGAGUCCCUGGACAACUCCUGACACUGAGGCACGAAAGCUAGGGGAGCAAACAGG
rnacentral:rRNA from 1 species